rnacentral:rRNA from 1 species
CCUACGGGAGGCAGCAGUAGGGAAUAUUGCACAAUGGGGGGAACCCUGAUGCAGCCAUGCCGCGUGUGUGAAGAAGGCCUUCGGGUUGUAAAGCACUUUCAGUUUGGAGGAAGGUAUUUGAGUUAAUAGCUUAGAUAUUUGACGUUACAAACAGAAGAAGCACCGGCUAACACCAUACCAGCAGCCGCGGUAAU